UCCAGGGGAAUUGUGCACCCAGUAGCUGAUCGACAGGGGUUUGGAAGACACCUUCAUCCUGACUCUAGAUGUCGUCCCUGAGACCCCAGGGCCAGCUGAGAACUUCUGGGAGUGGACUGCAAGCCACCCUCCUCUGUCCUCUACAGGCUGCAUCCCAAGAGCACUUCCUAGUGGACGCGCCGGGUGCCGCGGGCUGGCACAGCCCUGGCUGGCACGGCCCCGGGGUGGGAGACCUGGCCCACCACCGGCGUCCCCCAUCAGGCUGGCGACGCCCGAGAUUCCGUCCUGUUCCACUGAUCCAUCCGAGGGCUCUGCUGUGCCUCACUGCGUGACCGAGGCGGCCGUGUGUCAGCGGCAGACCUGAGUGUGGACGGCAGGGGGUUGACUCCUGGGAGACGAGAGGGAGAGCGGCUCAGUAUGCUCGGCCCCCCGUCACACGCGUGUCACUCUCCGUGAGGCCAGGCCCACGUGUCGUCUCGGCGCUGACCCUCUUUCUGCGGGCUGGGCCUCGGCACUGGGCAGCUGGGCCCGCUGGAGAGGCAGGCGUCCGUGAGAGUGGAAUAACCGCAGAUGCGCCGGGCUUGUCCAGGGGGUGUCUUCUCGAAGCCUGGAGCAGUUCGGGACCCGGGGACACUGAGUCUUUGGGCGCUGUGGAGGGGCGGGGGGCUGUGGCAGGCCUCUGUGGCCCUCUGCGUGACGGGCUCAGAUCGGAUCUUCGCCCCCAGGACCUGCCCGGGUGUCCGGUGCCCUGCGUUCCCUGCGAGCCUCGGGUUUCCCCCCAGCCCGGUCCCCGCCAGCCUGCAUCCAGACGGCAGCCGUGGCGGCCCGCGUGGUGUCCUCGCGCCCUGGCUGGGCCUCGGGCCCUCCGUCGGGCCAACGGGCGUAUCCUCGAGCGCCUCUGUGCGGAGUUUGCACGGUGCCUCUGCCGGGGCCUGGUGGGCGGUGUGAACGGCAUGAACGGCGUGAACAGGAGGCGCUGGGCGCAUGUCUCGGAGGAUCGAGGGGCGUCCUUCCCACCGCCCAGCCCCGUCGGCAGCACCUACACAGCGGCACCCAGUGUGCUGGGGGUGGGUGUGCCUUCAGCGCCUGCGGCUGCCGUUCACGCAGACCUGGCUCGGCCGGAGCUGCUGGGCUCUCGGGUCACGGCUGAGACCACGGAGGCCCCCGCCCCUGAUCCCAAGGUGGAGGUGAUGCCGGGGAAUGGAAUCUAG
rnacentral:lncRNA from 1 species